GGUGGCUAUGUGAGGGCCACCCCCAAAGGAAAGACCUGCCACUCUCGUGACAGCCAGUGUGACGAGGCCAUGUGCAACAAUGGUGGCACUUGCUAUGAUGAGGGGGAUGCUUUUAAAUGCAUGUGUCCUGGUGGCUGGGAAGGAACCACCUGUAACAUAGCACGAAACAGUAGCUGCCUUCCCAAACCCUGCCAUAAUGGGGGCACAUGUGUGGUCAAUGGCGAGUCAUUUAUGUGCGUCUGCAAGGAAGGCUGGGAGGGGCCCAUCUGUGCUCAGAAUACUAAUGACUGCAGCCCUCAUCCCUGUUACAACAGCGGCACCUGUGUGGAUGGAGACAACUGGUACCGGUGCAAAUGUGCCCCGGGUUUUGCUGGGCACGACUGCAGAAUAAACAUCAAUGAAUGCCAGCCUUCACCUUGUGCCUUUGGGGCAACCUGUGUGGAUGAGAUCAAUGGCUACUGGUGUGCCUGUCCCCCAGGGCACAGUGGUGCCAAGUGCCAGGAAGUUUCAGGAAGACCUUGCAGUGUGAUACCAGGUGGGGCCAAAUGGGAUGAUGACUGUAACACCUGCCAGUGUCUGAAUGGACGGAUUGCCUGCUCAAAGGUCUGGUGUGGCCAUUGACCUUGCCUGCUCCACAAAGGGCACAGCAAGUGCCCCAGUGGCAGAGCUGUAUCCCCAUCCUGGACGACCAGUGCUUCGUCCACCCCUGCACUGGUGUGGGCGAGUGUCGGUCCUCCGGUCUCCAGCCGGUGAAGAUGAAGUGCACCUCUGGCUCCUAUUACCAGGAUAAUUGUGCAAACAUCACGUUCACCUUUAACAAGGAGAUGAUGUCACCAGGUCUUACCACUGGGCACAUUUGCAGUGAAUUGAGGAAUCUGAAUAUUUUGAAGAAUGUUUCUGCUGAAUAUUCAAUCUAUAUCGCUUGUGAGCCUUCUUCUGCGAACAAUGAAAUACACGUGGCCAUUUCUGCUGAAGAUAUAUGGGAUGAUGGAAACCCAGUCAAGGAAAUCACCGACAAAAUCAUCGAUCUUGUUAGUAAACGUGAUGGAAACAGCUCAUUGAUUGCUGCCGUUGCAGAAGUAAAAGUUCAGAGGCAGCCUCAGAAGAACAGAACAGAUUUCCUGGUGCCCUUGCUGAGCUCUGUCUUAACCAUGGCUUGGAUCUGUUGCUUGGCAACGGCCUUGUACUGGUGCCUGUGGAAGAGGUGGAAGCCAGGCAGCCACACACACUCAGCCUCUGAGGACAACACCACCAACAACGUGCGGGAGCAGCUGAACCAGAUCAAAAACCCCAUUGAGAAACAUGGGGCCAACACGGUCCCCAUCAAGGAUUACGAGAACAAAAACUCCAAAAUAUCUAAAAUAAGGACACACAACUCUGAAGUCAAAGAGGAUGACAUGGAUAAACACCAGCAGAAAGCCUGGUUUGCCAAGCAGCAGUGUACACGCUGGUAGACAGAGAAGAGAAGCCUCCCAACAGCAUGCCGACAAAACACCCAAACUGGACAAACAAAUAGGACAACCGAGACUUGGAAAGUGCCCCAAGCUUAAACCGGAUGGAGUACAUUGUAUAGCAGACAGUGGGCGCUGCUGCCGCUAGGUAGAGUCUGAGGGCUUGUAGUUAUUUAAACUGUCGUGUCAUACUCGAGUCUGAGGCUGUUGUUGACUUAGAAUCCCUGUGUUAAUUUAAGUUUUGACAAGCUGGCUUACACUGGCAAUGGUAGUUUCUGUGGUUGGCUGGGAAAUCGAGUGCCGCAUCUCACGGCUAUGCAAAAAUGAGUCGACAGUACCCUGGUUGUUUGUCCCCCUGCAGCAGACAGUUCUCUGAUCGGGCUUCCAGGAGCCUGCCCAGUCCCCCGCCCCCCCAGUCUUUGAGCUCCCACUUCUGCCAGAUGUCCUAAUGGUGAUGCAGUCUUAGAUCAUAAUUUUAUUUAUAUUUAUUGACUCUUGAGUUGUUUUUGUAUAUUGGU